rnacentral:rRNA from 1 species
GAGUUUGAUCCUGGCUCAGGACGAACGCUGGCGGCGUGCUUAACACAUGCAAGUCGAACGGAGCGCCUGUGAAAGAGACUUCGGUCAAUGGAUUGGGAUGCUUAGUGGCGGACGGGUGAGUAACGCGUGAGGAACCUGCCUUUCAGUGGGGGUCAACAGUUGGAAACGACUGCUAAUACCGCAUAACAUAUCUGCAUCGCAUGGUGUGGAUAUCAAAGAUUUAUCGCUGAGAGAUGGCCUCGCGUCUGAUUAGCUAGUUGGUGGGGUAACGGCCCACCAAGGCGACGAUCAGUAGCCGGACUGAGAGGUUGGCCGGCCACAUUGGGACUGAGAUACGGCCCAGACUCCUACGGGAGGCAGCAGUGGGGAAUAUUGGGCAAUGGGCGCAAGCCUGACCCAGCAACGCCGCGUGAAGGAAGAAGGCUUUCGGGUUGUAAACUUCUUUUAAGAGGGAAGAGCAGAAGACGGUACCUCUUGAAUAAGCCACGGCUAACUACGUGCCAGCAGCCGCGGUAAUACGUAGGUGGCAAGCGUUGUCCGGAUUUACUGGGUGUAAAGGGCGUGUAGCCGGGCUGACAAGUCAGAUGUGAAAUCCGGGGG